AGGUAAUGAGUUCCAGAUUUCAGGACAGAGCAGGCUGCGCGUUAAAACCACAAGCGGGGCCACGGCAGCCUGCGGCACUCCAGCACUCUAGCGUAUCAAUGGGAAUGACCUGUUUACUCCCACUGGACUGGCAAUUCCUGGAGGGCAAGGGCAGCUCUGUCACCUGGGCCUCGGAGUCAGUCCUGAGUAGUUCAUGCCUUUUUAUUGAAGAAUACCAUUUCACUGUAUGGAUGCACCUUUGUUUAUUCACCUACUGAAAGACAUUGGAUUAUUUCCAGUUUGGAGCCAUUAUGAAUGGAGCUGCAGUCAUGAUCUCUUGAUGAGUUCGAGCCUUG